UGACCUCGGAUCAGUCGUGAAUACCCGCUGAACUUAAGCAUAUCACUAAGCGGAGGAAAAGAAACUAACCAGGAUUCCCCUAGUAACGGCGAGUGAAGAGGGAAUAGCCCAGCACCGAAGCCUGCAGUAGUUUUGCUGUUAGGCAAUGUGGUGUUUGGGUCGGCUAGUGGGAUUGCCACUCCACUCGAAGUCCAGCAUUGAGUAUGGUCACUGGAUUUGGCCCAGAGAGGGUGAAAGGCCCGUACGGGUGGAGGUCUCAGACAAGUAAGGCAAUUCACCAGGCCGGCCUUAGAGUCGGGUUGUUUGUGAAUGCAGCCCAAAGUGGGUGGUAAACUCCAUCCAAGGCUAAAUACUAGCACGAGUCCGAUAGCGAACAAGUACCGUGAGGGAAAGUUGAAAAGUACUUUGAAGAGAGAGUAAACAGUACGUGAAACCGCAUGCAGGUAAACGGGUGGCGUCAAGCUGCAAGCCCGGAGGAUUCAGCUGGCUAGGAUGUUGUGUAUGCGCCUGGCGCAUCUAUCAGCCGGAGUAAGAUGUGAUAGUCCACUGGUAAACGGUGGGCCCGGCCGCAAGGUUGGGAUAUGUGUACCGGGCGGAAGCCGGAGCAUGCUAUUCGUCUGUUGGGCUGUCUAGUCAGUGCACUUUCUCUGUGGUGAACACCACGACCGGUGGAAUUGCCAGUCUGCUGUAGUCAAGUCGUAUUCAGUCGGUUCUUGUAGCCAACUGGGUGCGAUCACAGGCAAACUCAGUAAACGGCGUAGGGGUGUCUCGGCAUCCUUGCGUGUUAUCGGCUGCUGGUUGUCAACGGGCCUGCCUGAUGAUUGUUGUAACCGUCAUUGGGUGGUCUGGUGGGCUAUGGUGGUAAGAAUAACUGUGCAAGGCAUCGGAGUUCUCGGCCUCAAAUGCAUCCUGCAUACACGUUACAAGUGGAGUGGGGUGCCAUUGCAGCCUGCCUGUUGUUGGGUCUGAUUGUCGUGUCGCCUGCGCAAAGUGGGCCCGGCAGUGGCCUGAUGCGGGAUGGGUUGUGGAUGGUGCUUCCUGUGUAGGGUGCGGUGGGUCAAAUAGUCAGUGGUGUAGUGGUAGACGAGCUACCCGACCCGUCUUGAAACACGGACCAAGGAGUUUAACAUGUAUGCGAGUCAAGGGGUCCUACGAAACCCAAAGGCGCAGUGAAAGUAAAGCUUCGACUUGUCUCGGAGUGAGGUGAGAUCCUGCCGUUACUCGCAUCAGUCUUUUGUCAGCAUCAGGCUAAGAGCGGUGGGCGCAUCACCGGCCCGUCCCAUGAUGUGGUCAUUGGAUGUCUGCAGUCGUUGCUUGCAGCGGUUGUGGUGCCAGUGCGUCAUCGGGGCGGAGCAUGAGCAUACAUGUUGAGACCCGAAAGAUGGUGAACUAUGCUUGCGUAGGUUGAAGCCAGAGGAAACUCUGGUGGAGGACCGCAGCGAUUCUGACGUGCAAAUCGAUCGUCAAACGUGAGUAUAGGGGCGAAAGACUAAUCGAACCAUCUAGUAGCUGGUUCCCUCCGAAGUUUCCCUCAGGAUAGCUGGCGCUCAUUCGCAUGAUCAGUUUUAUCCGGUAAAGCGAAUGAUUAGAGGUGCUGGGUUCGAAACGAGCUCAACCUAUUCUCAAACUUUAAAUGGGUGAGAUGUCCGACUCGCCUAAUAGGAGUCGGGCGUUGAAUGUGUGAGUGCCAAGUGGGCCAUUUUUGGUAAGCAGAACUGGCGCUGUGGGAUGAACCAAACGCUCGGUUAAGGUGCCUAACGCAGACGCUCAUGAGAUACCACAAAAGGUGUUGGUUAAUAUAGACAGCAGGACGGUGGCCAUGGAAGUCGGCAUCCGCUAAGGAGUGUGUAACAACUCACCUGCCGAAUUGACCAGCCCUGAAAAUGGAUGGCGCUGGAGCGUCGGACCUAUACCGGGCCGUCAUUGCAAGCUGAGUCGCUGACGAAUGUGUAUGGUGUGAGCGGUGUUAUUCGCCGUCCAGAAGUCAUGGCUCAGGCAUGGAGUGCGAUGACGAGUAGGAGGGUCGCCGUGGUGAGCGUGGAAGCUUCGGGCGUGAGCCUGGGUGGAGCCGCCACGGGUGCAGAUCUUGGUGGUAGUAGCAAAUAUUCAAGUGAGAACCUUGAAGGCCGAGGUGGAGAAGGGUUCCAUGGGAACAGCAGUUGACCAUGGGUCAGGCGGUCCUAAGCGAUCCGGUGACUCGGUACAGAGACGUGGGGUGCCUUCUAUGUGUGCGUAUACAUGUAUGGUGCUUAUGCUGGUAGCCCCCCGGAGCGAAAGGGAAUCGGGUUAAUAUUCUCGACCCUGCCCACGGAGAUAGGCGGCGUUUGGCUGGACUGCGCAAGUGGUCUAUGUCUGGGCGUCGUCAAGCGCGGUAACGCGAGCGAACUCGGAGACGUCGGCGAGAGUUCCGGGAAGAGUUUUCUUUUCUUUGUAAGGAUGGCUACCACCCCUGGAAUCGGGUUGUCCGGAGAUAGGGGUAUCGCCUCCGUAAAGCACCACCCCUCUUGUGGUGUCCGGAACGCUCUUGUCGGCCCUUGAAAAUCCGA
rnacentral:rRNA from 1 species